rnacentral:rRNA from 1 species
AUACGGAGGGUGCAAGCGUUACUCGGAAUCACUGGGCGUAAAGCGCGCGCAGGCGGCUUGGUAAGUUGGAUGUGAAAGCCUACGGCUCAACCGUAGAACUGCAUCCAAAACUGUCAAGCUAGAGUGUGGGAGAGGAAGAUGGAAUUAGUUGUGUAGGGGUAAAAUCCGUAGAGAUAACUAGGAAUACCAAAAGCGAAGGCAAUCUUCUGGAACACUACUGACGCUGAGGCGCGAAAGCGUGGGGAGCAAACAGGAUUAGAAACCCCAGUAGUCC